rnacentral:pre_miRNA from 1 species
UUCACAAGAAGGUGUCAUUCAUGUGAACCAAAAAUAUGAAUGAUGCCUUUUUGAGAAAA